ACCUCUAGCAUAAGUAGUAUUAGAGGCACUGCCUGCCCAGUGACAUACGUUAAACGGCCGCGGUAUCCUGACCGUGCAAAGGUAGCAUAAUCACUUGUUCUUUAAAUAAGGACUUGUAUGAAUGGCUAGACGAGGGUUUAACUGUCUCUUACUUAUAAUCAGUGAAAUUGACCUUCUCGUGAAGAGGCGAGAAUAAUAAAAUAAGACGAGAAGACCCUAUGGAGCUUAAAUCAAUUAGCUUAAGUUAGCUCUCUUUUCCUCAAUAGAGACAAAAAACAACCUAUGAGCUAAAAAUUUUGGUUGGGGUGACCUCGGAAAAUAAAGUAACUUCCGAAUGAUUCUAAUUAAGACUAACCAGUCUAAGUUACUACUCAUUAAUUGACCCAAUACUUGAUCAACGGAACAAGUUACCCUAGGGAUAACAGCGCAAUCCUAUUCAAGAGUUCCUAUCGACAAUAGGGUUUACGACCUCGAUGUUGGAUCAGGACAUCCAAAUGGUGCAACCGCUAUUAAAGGUUCGUUUGUUCAACGAUUAAAGU
rnacentral:rRNA from 1 species